AUGCCUGGUCUCCAGGGUGCCCAGGGUGCUCAAGGAUAUCCUGGGGAACUUGGACCACAGGGCCCUCCAGGACCUUUAGGCAUGCCAGGGAAACCAGGACCUCCUGGACCUAAGGGUCUUAUGGGACUGAAAGUAAUAGGAGCCAAAGGAAGAAAGGGUGACACUGGGUUAACCGGACCUCCUGGGCCCCCUGGAACUGUAAUUGUGACAUUAAGCGGACCAGACAACAUGACGGACUUGAAAGGAGAAAAAGGAGAAAAAGGAUCAAGAGGACCCCCAGGGCCAAUGGGGUUUACAGGGCUGGUUGGUGAUUCCCAAAGCGAAAAGGGUGACCGGGGAGAACCAGGAGCACAGGUGUGUACAAACAGUUGAAUACAUGUGUGUUAGUCCUUUCUGAAAAACUGCUUUGAACUAGUGUUGCUGUCCAGUUUUUGUCUCACUCUACUCAGAGCAAAUUGGCUUAAAUUCAAAAGCUUUUUCCUGCAGUAAACUAGACAAGAGCUGGAAGUCAAGUGACUGUACUUACAUGAGUACUUGGAGUGAAGGUCAGUUGAUUGUGAGUACACUUCUAUUUUUUUUGCUAUAAAGGUUCUCCUGUUGAAAUGUAAUAAAAAAGUGCUCUGCUAGACA
rnacentral:lncRNA from 1 species